AGCUUUUUGCAGUGGCAGUAUCGUAGCUAACGAGGUUUAUCUGAGGCACAAUUAUUGCUAAUUGAAAGAUUUAAAGAAAGAAAGUG
ensembl:snRNA Gm24459 predicted gene, 24459